rnacentral:rRNA from 1 species
GAAGUGGGUAGUCCGCACGAGCGCACCCUACUUCAAUUGCCAGCACGUUAUGGUGGGAACUUUGAAGGAACUGCCGGUGAUAAGCCGGAGGAAGGUGGGGAUGACGUCAAGUCCUCAUGGCCCUUACGGGCCGGGCUACACACGUGAUACAAUGGUGAUUACAAGGGGCUGCUAAAGAGCGAUCUCAAGCAAAUCCUUAAAAGUCAUCUCAGUUCGGAUUGCACUCUGCAACUCGACUCCAUGAAGCAGGAAUCGCUAGUAAUCGUGGAUCAGAACGCCACGGUGAAUACGUUCCCGGGCCUUGUACACACCGCCCGUCACACCAUGGGAGCCGACAAGGGCAGAAGUCGCCGAGCUAACCUUCGGGAAGCAGGCGCCCAAGCUGUUGUUGACGACUGGGGUGAAGUCGUAACAAGGUAGCCGUAGGAGAACCUGCGGCUGGAUCACCUCCUUUCU